ensembl:lncRNA
CAGGGACGGAUUGGCAAUCGGGAAUACCGGGAACAAUCCCGAACGGCCGGUCCAUUUCAGGCCGAAUCGGCCGGUGGUCAAAUUUUUUAUUAUUAUUAUUUAUUUUAUAUGAUACGCUACCGUACCGGCCUGCUCAGCUGCAGCGGAACGCAGCUGUGUGUCUGUCUGUGUGUGUGUUUUUAGACUGGGCCAAACCAAUACUUCCAAUCUUAAGGGGGGAUACGAGCGGCCCCUCCCAACUUGGACUGAUCCUCGUAUUUGCUGACAUCCGAUUGGCUCAAAGGCGCCGAUCAAAGGAGUUUAAUGGUUAGGUUUGAGUUUGUGUGAAUGCAACAGAGACAGACGGUAAAAAUGGCGAAACGAAGGAAAGAAGAGAAAGAAAUGGGUGGGGCCGAAAAAAUAAGAAUGAAAAAGAAAAAAAUGUUGGCACAAGAGGCAGCUAAAUGUGCCAAAUUAACGGACCUUUUCCGCACUGAAAAGGGUGCUGUGGCAGGAGGUGCAGAUGAGGAAGGACCCAGCAGCAUGGAUAGGACAGCUGUACAAUCAGUAAGCAGAGACAGGGUCCAGCAGAGGCAGGGUCCAGCACAGGGGAAGCUGAGGCAGGGAGAGUUGAAAGUGAGUACACACACACACACACACACACACACAAUCUCUAUUGUAUGGGACUGCAUUGUAGUUUUUGAGUAUGAGUGGGUGUGAGUAUUUGUAACUAUUUUAUCACUCCGACUGACUGUACACAUGACAUGCUGGUAGUUCGCAGUAUACUGUGUGACUUAUGUGUUUGAGAUUAGGUUUUGCUGACCUGGUUGUGUUCAGUGCAGUGGACUUGCUUAUACAACCUGAGGAGGCAGGUGUUAUCCUAAAGUUUCUUGAAGGUCUUCAGCGUAAUCUGAUUGUCUUUAUACCAUAAAAACACUAUUAGAAUGAAAAUAACUGCAAAAAAUCCUGCUCGUGCACCAAGGGCACUCGCGUAAAAGGCCUCUCCGUCUUAAAGUCCCGGGCUGAAUUUCAGUCCCAGUACGUCCCUGAUAUUACCCAUGCUUCAAAGAGAACUACCCGAUAAAUGGCACUGGCUCCCAUAAUCAAAACAGUUUACUCCUAAAAUUGCUUGCAGAUUGACAUGCAGAAGCAACCCGCCUGUGAUGUGAGCGAAAUAUAUCCAGUAUUAGCAUCUGAAAAGCACUGUAGUUGCCAGCCACCAGCAACUGGGCAUUUGAGAGAGAUGAGAGCUAGAUUCAGUUCCUCAGCAGCAAGCUGAUGAGAUGUCACAUCUCCACAUGAAUAUUUAUGAGGCUCGUGGUCGUGGGCGGCCUGGGAAUAUCAGAGCGUUUUACACAAGAGUUGUGUGGCCCGUGACUUAGUAGCGCACUUAUAUGAUGACGUCACAUCUAAUUCAUUUUUCUAACAGCUUGAAGUGGUUUAAGGUGGGAUGUUGAGAUUGUCCAGUGGGAAUAACAGUAUAAGAAAUCCUGAAACCCCUGCUUUUGCCAUUAACUAGAGUCCCUGGAGGCUCAAUAUAGAGUUAAAGUGAAACACUAUUCCUCCUCAUUAACACUUGAUACUGAACUCUCACUCUUAUGAAUAUUUACUAUGAAGGAGAAAAUGGCUCAGAAUCAAUUUUUAUUCAUUAUCGUAGUAAAUGUGUACAUGAGUGAGAGUUUAGCUGUUAAUUAGGAAGAAUAUAUAAGAGAAGAGCUCAAAUACUGUGGAUAACUGUUCCAAC